AAAAACUGUUAAAACUGCUGACUACUUUUGUUACUGAAUGUAAUCGUGUUAGAAAAAUAGUCUUGAUGAAGACUUCUCCAUGCAGUCAAUCUUUAUUAUAGCAGUAUUCGCAUAUUCACAUCAAGUACAUAGAACUUUUUUUGCCUUUUAUAUAAUACAGAGUUUUUAAAUAACUUUACACAGAAAUAAAUUUCUUCAAUCUGAAUUUCAGCUAUCUUUUUUUAUUCUCCAUGCUUUCUAUCCAAACUGAACAAUAUUUUCUGUUAUACAAAUUUACAUGAGAAAAACUCCAAAGUACAAAUGAAGGGACCUGAGCAGGAAAGAGAACCAAAGUAUCAGGAAGUGGGUAUGGGGGAGAAUUAAAAAAAAUAAUAAAAGAUUCAAGCAAACAUUGAGAAUAGGGGAAAAGAGGGAGACAUCAUCCAUUUGACUGAAAAUAAAUGUCUUUUUUAUGAAUUGAAAAAUAAGCUUUAAAAAUAGUUACUCCAUUGUAAUUUUUGCAAAGCAGGUAUAGAGAGGUCUGUGGACAAUUAAAAAGUCCCCAUCUUUUCACUGGGCACGCCCCAGACUCCAUGAGAACCUUUUCAAUGCUUGAGUGGAACUGAAGUGUACUAAACCCGAACCUUUGGCAGUAACAGAAAAGAGGAAUGUGUGUGUGAGUCGCCAUAAGGUUUGGAGUGGUGAAACAGGAACCGUGAAUUCACUGCAGUUCAAACAGGAAGCAUCUCCCUUUCCUCUCCCUUACAGGAGUCAUGUCCUCAAACCAAGGAAUACAUGAAAAGGGGGGAUUUCCUUUUUCUUGGUCUAAACCAAAGAGCAAUGACAACUACUGAAUAAAAUUCAGAGAGACACAUGUUGAUGAAUGAUCAAAUUCAAUCCCCUGAUCAGUUGUAUGAUCCUAUCUUAGGAAAGGCAGCAAUUGCCAUGUUGAGGAAAGGAUCAGAUGUACAACCAACAAAUGAGAUUACCACAAAUACAUAUCACUGUGAUACAGUCCUCAAAAAUCAGGCGAUAUCAUGAAGGCCAAACUGAGUCUAUAUAUGUGGCAUGGCCAAAGGAAACACGGAGGACCCAUGGAUGCAUUUUAAAAUGAAGGCGGGAGAAGGGGACAGCACAGAGACAUACACCCCUGUAUGUAAACUAACAUAACAUGAAGAUAAAUAAGACAUAAAGGCUAGCCACUUAUGUUGGUCAUUAACAUGAAUAAAAAGGCAUUAUAUGUUGAUAUAGCUGGUUUUAAUCAGCUAUGGAACAUACACAAAUGUAUUAGGAAGGAAUGAUUCUUAAAAAAACCGUUCACAGCUUAGAAUAAAAAGCAUACUUAUUGCACUCUUACAUUUGAUUUCAGGUAAUUACAGUUUAUUUCCCACCCUCACAUUAGUUUUUCCCUAUCCUAGAUUUACUGCCACCUCACCCCAUUUUGGUCUCUGUUCUCUACAUCUGUGCCCACUCUGUGAGCUUUGUUGUUUAUGCUAGUUUGCAGUGACUUCCAACUCAUACUCCAUCAAAACACACGUGGGUUCAAAAACUUAACACAAAAAUGCAACGCAGUAAUUUUCAAAACAAAACCAGGACUAAGCAACUUCAUCAAAACCCCCAAUCCCACCCCUGUAAACAGACCCUUCCUUUGCGGCAUCUCUUCACAAAUUUUCUGCCAACUCUCCCGCAUAUGUGCUGUACAUGAGAACCAGCGGUCACGGUGCUGGAGAAUGAACUCGGCUGGCCGGGAGAAGCAGAUGGUUUGUACAAACAUUUUUUGAUACUACCAUGAAUAAACAUAUUUUAGUUGUUUUCAGAGCACUUCCAUCUACAGAAUUCUUUAAAAAAAAUGCACCUCUAAAAAAUGGAUACACUGGCUUACAUUGGCUGUGUCCUCAUACACACUCGUCAAGUCACUGUAAUUAUUCAAAAUAGCUAAAUAAAUGUCAACAUUUUAAUAAAGCUGAUUUAGUAAUUAAUAAAACUUAACAGUUGAAGUUGUGGAUGUUAAAUAAAAGUACUUUAGUCACUCAUUGAGUUGCCGACUAAUUGCCCCAUGCAUUUUUUUUUUUUAAAGCACUGUUACCUUAAUUUAAGAUUUUAGGAGUUGGGUUUCUGUCCUUUUCCACAUUAAAAAUACCUGAUAGGAACUGUUAAUUACCCUUUCCACAAUUAAAAAUUAGAAUUGAAUUUCAAUUUAAAUGUCUUUGCCCAAACAAAAGUGAAAAUAGGUUAUUUGAAAACAACAAAACAGAGCUUACUGUCUAGUGUACUAAUAAAACAAACAUCUUACCAGUAUUUUUAAUUUUACCAGAGCUAGCAACAUGGACCACAGAUAUACUGGUGACUCCGCUCUCCUCUGGCCAAGCUACAAAUCAUCACCUGAGGCAGAGAUGCUACUACCCUCUUCUGGGGCUCAACUACCGAUGGGCAUCAGUAAUCCAUCCCAGUAUAACAUUUCAAGGAUGCGCUGGAGACAAUACAUGGACUUUCUCUUUCAAUGUGGACAGGAAACGCACCAUAUCCCCCUGCCUGGAUGGGUGUUUUUGGAGAAGCACAAGCAUAUAGACUAAAAUCCUCUGUUUGGAAACCAGCCCGAUUCAAG
rnacentral:lncRNA from 1 species